rnacentral:rRNA from 1 species
UCCGCGCGUUCCUACGGGAGGUGGAGCUUGAGCGCGUGCGAUAGUACCCGAAAGAAUGGUGAACUAUGCCUGGGGCAGGGCGACAGCCAGAGGAAACUCUGGUGGUAGGCCGUAGGCGGUCCCUAACGUGCAAAUCGGUCGUCCGACCUGAGGCAUCAGGGGCGAAAGACUAAUCGAACCAUCUAGUAGCUGGUUCCCGAAGUUUCCUAGAUAGCUGGCGUCGUACUCGCAUUUUAUUGGUAAAGCGAAUACUAGAGGCCUUGGGCCGAAACGAUCUUCAACCUAUUCCUCAAAACUUUAAUGGUAGAGGCCCUGCUCGGCUGCUGGAGCAGGGCGUGGAAUGAGAGUGCCCAGUGGGCCACUUUGUAAGCAGAACUGGCGCUGCGGAUGAACCGAACGCCGGGUUAAGGCGCCGAUGCCCGACGCUCAAUCAGACCCAAAAAAGGUGUUGGUUGAUAAGACAGCAGACGGUGGCCAUGGAAGUCGGAAUCCGCUAAGGAAGUGUUAACAACUUCACCUGCCGAAUCAACUAGCCCUGAAAAUGGAUGGCGCUGGAGCGUCGGGCCCAUACCCGGCGAGUCGCUGGCGAUCGGAGCCACGUGGGCUAACGCCGCGAUGAGUAGGAGGGCCGCCGCGGUGAGCACGGUAAAGAAGCCUAAGGGCGUGGGCCCGGGUGGAGCCGCCGCGGGUGCAGAAUCUUGGGUGGUAGUAGCAAAUAUUCAAAACGAGAACUUUGGAAGGCGAAGUGGAAGAAGGGUUACCAUGUGAACAGGCAGUUGAACAAUGGGUCAGUCGGUCCUAAGAGAUUGGCGAACGCCGUUCCGAAGCGCGGGGCCGAUGGCCUGCCGUCGCCCCCGGUCGAUCGAAAAGAGGAGUCGGGUCAGAUCCCCGAAUCUGGAGAAGGCGGAGAUAGGCGCCGCGAGGCGUCCAGUGGCGGUAACGCAAACGACCCCGAGAAGCGCGGCGGGAGCACCCGGGAAAGUUCUCUUUUCUUUGUGAAGGGCAGGGCGCCCUGGAAUGGGUUCGCCCCGAGAUAGGGGCCCGUGCCCUGGAAAGCGUCGCGUUCCGCCGGCGUCCCGGUGGCUCUCGCUGGCCCUUGAAAAUCCGGGUGAGAAGGUGUAAAUCUCGCGCCACGGCCCCCGUACCCAUAUCCGGCAGCAGGUCCUCCAAAGGUGAACAGCCUCUGGCAUGAUGAAACAAGGGGGGAAGAGGAAGUCGGCAAGAAUCAGAUACGUAACUUCGGAUAAGGGAUUGGCUCUAAGGGCUGGGUCGGUCGGGCUGGGGUGCGAAAGCGGGGCUGGGCCUGGCCGCGGCUGGGGGAGCAGCUGCCGUCGCCUCCCUAUCGUCCUCCCCCGUUCGAAAGCGUCCCGUGACGGGCGGUCCGGAGGGGGCUCCUCUGCGCGGUCGCUUUCGCUUCGGCGUGGCGCUGCCUGGGGGUCCUCCGAGGGCCGUCCCGAGGCGGGCGUGGAAGGCGGGAUGUGGGGCUUGGGCUCGGGUGGCGGUCGGCGGCGACUCUGGCACGUGUGUCGGCCUUCUCGCGGAUCUUCCUCAGCUUACGGGACUGUAGGGCUCCACCCGGGGUUCGCGCGGUUCGCCCGGCUGACGCCUAAGCAGCUGGACUUAGAAAACUGGUGCGGACCAGGGAAAUCCGAUGUUAAUUAAAAACAGAGGCAUCGCGAGGGCCCCAAGCGGGUGUUGACGCAAUGUGAUUUCCCUGCCGCAGUGCUCUAAUGUCAAAGUGAAGAAAUUCAAUGAGCGGCGGGUAAACGGCAGGGGAGUAACUAUGACUCUCUUAAGGUAGCCAAAUGGCCCUCGUCAUCUAAUUAGUGACGCGCAUGAUGGAUGAACAGAUUCCACUGUCCUACCUAACUAUCCAGCAGAAACCACAGCCAGGGAACGGGCUUGGCAGAAUCAGGCGGGGAAAGAAGACCCUGUUUGAGGCUUGACUCUAGUCUGGUCUGUGGAAGAGACAUGAGAGGUGUAGAAUAAGUGGGAGGUCUCGGCCGACGGUGAAAUACACUACUCUUUCGUUUUUUCCACUUACCCGGUGAGGGCGGGGAGGCGAGCCCCGAGUGGGUUCUCGUUUCCUGGUGUCAAACCCCGGCUUGGGCCGGGGGCAACCCGUCCCGGGGACAGUGACAGGUUGGGGAGUUUGACUGGGGCGGUACAGACCUGUCAAACGGUAACGCAGGUGUCCUAAGGCGAGCUCAGGGAGGACAGAACCUCCGUGGAAGCAGAAGGCAAAAGCUCGCUUGAAUCUUGAAUUUUCAGUAUGAGUACAGAAGAACCGUGAAAGCGCGGCCUUCACGAUCGCUUCUGAUGUUUUGGGUUUUAAGUAAAGCCAGGAGGUUCAGAAAAGUUUACCACAAGGUGAUACUGGCUUGUGGCCCAAGCGUUAUAGCUACGUCGCUUUUUGAUCCUUUCGAAUGUCGGCUUCUUCCUAAUCCAUUGUGAAGCAAGAAUUCACCAAAGCGUUGGAUUGUUCACCCACUAAUAGGGAACGUGAGCUGGUUAGACCGUCCGUGAGACAGGUUAGUUUUUUUAACCCUACUGAUGAUGUGUUGUUGCAAUAGUAAAUCCUGCUCAGUACGAGAGGAACCGGCAGGUUCAGACAUUUGGUGUAUUGGGUGCUUGGCUGAGGAGCCAAUGGGGCGAAAGCUACCCAUCUGUGGGCUUAUGAAGACUGACGCCUCUAGUCAGAAUCCCCGCCUAAGAUGGAUGAUACAAGCGCUCGGGCAUACGAUUGUUCAAGGGUAACCGACCCAUCCCCGGGGGGCCGGCGAGGAAAGACGUUUGGUACUGGUUCGGGGUCGGCCAAAAGAUGGUCGCCCUCUCCAUGAUCCACCGCUGUUUAUGAAGGACUGGUUUGUUAAAUCACUUGCAUACGACCUGAAUUCUGGUCAGGGUGUCGUAAGUAGCAGAGCAAGCUUUUAUGACUGCGUCUAUUGAAGUCAUACCCUCGAUC